GAAAAAGACUGGGUCUCGCUGUAUUACUCAGGCUGCACUACAGCGUCUAUUCACAGGCGCGAUCCCACUACUGAGCGGCACGGGGGCUUUGACCUGCUCCGUUUCCGACCUGGGCCGGUGCACCCCUCCUUAGACGACCUGGUGGUCCCGGGCUCCCCCAGGAGCACCAUAUCGAUACCGAACUUAGUGCGGACACCCGAUCGGCAUAGUCCGCUGCAGCUCAGAGCUCCUGAGCUCAAACGAUCCGCCAGCCUCAGCCUCCCGGUAGCUUGGAUUACAGGCGCGCGCCACCGCACCCGGCGAGGAGCAACGACUCGCAUAGGGCUUUUGAAUAC
rnacentral:SRP_RNA from 1 species